rnacentral:lncRNA from 1 species
GAAAAUUAUUGAAUUAAAUCUCAGUGUAUGCAAUGGGAAUUUACAUAUGUUUGCGAUAUGUAAGUCUUGGGGGGGUGGAGAUAGCCAGCAACGUUUGGACAACUGUUGGAUGAAAUCAAAGUAUAGGGGCAGGGGAAAUGUUCCAGAUCAUCUAAAGAAAAAUUAAAAAUUAAAUCUGCUGAAUGAUAGGAGAUGAAUUUUGGGGAAGAAUUGAGAAGGGAUUGGAAUAAGAAUGGAGAGAAAUUUAGGAAGGUAGAUAGAGCUAGAGCUCUUUCAUUUUUCAUAAGCUGUCUUUGUUUAGGUCAUAGUUUGCCUUAUAUAGGAAAGGCUUAACCCUACUUGACAAUUGGGCCUGACUACAUGGGCCAAACGAAAUUAAUUAAAAUACUAAGAUCCUUAUGAUUCCAUCUCAUAGUCAGCAUAAUGGGCAGGCCUCCUCCUCACACGUUUCCCAGCCUGCACAUCCUCUUUAGCUAUAGCUUUGAUUGUGUCAGAUCCCACAGUGGAAGAUCUAACCUUAGAUCUUGCCCCAAUCUUUUGUAGCAGCUCCUUCUCUUCCAGAUUUUUCUCAGCAGCAACCUCCUUGUCCGUUGGCUCUAUGAUAACUUCUUCAUCCCGUUCUCUACUUGGAGCUGCCUCCAUCUCUCUUCUAAGGAUCUCUGUCUUCAUGUCACUCUUGCAAGCAUGGGUAUCCAGUGUGAUCGUAACAUUGCCAUCCUCUAACGGACGAACCUUGCCCUCAAGGUUCAUUGACGGAAAGAGCUCCGCAAGUUCACGUGUACCCUCCCAUGUUGCUUCUUCUACAGAUGUACCCUCCCACUGGACCAGCACCUCCAUUACGUUUUUUCCUUGACAUAGCCUUGUUCUUUUGCCGACAAUCUUCACCGGUAUCGGUACAUGCUCGUUUCCAACCACCAACUCAGGUAAAAUCUUUUCGUCUUCUUCCGUUAUCUUUCCUUUGACCUGCUUUAACCUGGAUAUAUGAAACACAUCAUGAAUUUUACUCCCCAUCGGUAAAUUUAAUUUGUAUGCUACUUCUCCGAUUUUUUUGACGAUUUUGUAGGGACCAAAAUAUCGAGGUGAUAGUUUGGGGUGAAGCCUGUGAGCCACUGUCACUUGACGAUACGGUUGGAGACGAACCCAUACCCAAUCUCCUAUAUUUAAUGUAAUCUCCUUUCUUCCUUUAUCUGCAUAGUACUUCAUUCUAUCCUGAGCUCUUUUCAUAUUUUUUUGCACAAGACUAAUUAUUUCUUUCCUUCUACAUAGCUCCUUAUCGACUGCAUCAACUACUGAGCUCCCCGGGCUAUACCCUGCCAGUGUUGGAGGAUCUCUCCCAUAUAAGGCCAGAAAUGGUGUCAUCCCGAUUGAAGUGUUGAAAGUUGAGUUAAACCACAGUUCUGCCCACGGCAGUAGUUGUACCCAUCUCCUUGGAUCAUCAUGGCAGAGUGAUCUCAGGUAAUGUUCUAUCCCUCUAUUUGUAACCUCCGUCUGACCAUCUGUUUGUGGGUGGUAGGCAGAAGAGGUCUUGAUCGUUGUGCCACUUAACCGGUGGAUUUCUUUCCAGAAUUUACCCGUAAAAACCUUGUCACGAUCUGAUACAACGGAUCGUGGCAUGCCAUGUAGCCUUAUUAUAGAAUUAACGAAAAAUUCUGCAACGCCCGUUGCUGAAUACUCAGUAGGAAGCGCUCCCACAUGGCAGUAUUUGGUUAAUCUAUCAACUACUACCACAAUCACUGUUUUGUUUCUGACUUUCGGUAGGCCGGUAAUAAAAUCCAUAGAGACGUCCUCCCAUACAUCUUUAGGAAUUGGUAAGGGACUAAGUAAUCCUUGGCUUUUCUGAUGUGGGACUUUCAUUUGUUGACAAGUCCUGCAUUCAACUACAAACUUUUUAAUAUCAGCUGUCAUGCCUCUCCACCACAAAACUGAUUGAAUUCUUUUAAGAGUUCUUUCCACUCCUGAAUGUCCACCAUAAUAUGAAUUAUGAAAUUCUUGCAGUAUUUCAUUCUUAUGUUCUGUUUCCUUUAACAACAUCAACUUGCUCUGAAGUAUAAUAACCCAUUGAUAAUCGAGAAAUCAGAAUUAGGAAUACCUUUACUUUCCAUGCCUUACAUCUCUUCUUCGAUUGAUUUCGAAUUUCUGCAUUCCAACUUAAUUUUUUCCAGCAAUGCAUUAAUAGGCCUUGAAAUAGCAAAUAUUGAGCCUUUUUGUUCCACCACUUGCUCUUCAAACAUUCUCGAUAGACCAUCCGCAACCACAUUCUCCUUCCCGGGUUUAUAUUCGAUGGAAUAAUUAAAUCCCAGAAGUUUGUAGAGAAACUUUUGUUGCUCUGGUGUUUGAAUCACCUGUGAAAGCAGAUUUUUUAAACUAUAAUGAUCUGUUUUUACCACAAAUUUAUUACCAAGUAGGUAGUGGCGCCACUUGCUCACUGCCUGUGUUAUUGCAUAUAAUUCUUUAGCGUAUGUAGAUCCAUUUUGCAUUCUAUCAGAUAAUUUGCUGCUGUAAAAGGCUACUGGGUGGCCCUCCUGCAUUAAAACAGCUCCAAUUCCCACCCCACUAGCAUCAGUUUCCACCACAAACGGUUUAUUAAAAUCAGGAUAUGAUAAAACUGGUGUUGUUGUCAUUGCUUUUUUUAAUGCUAUGAAACUCUCUAAUGCUUUCUCCGACCAAUUAAAUGAGUCUUUCUUUAGGAGGUCGGUCAUUGGGCCUGCAAUCCUUGCGUAACCAUUGAUAAACCGCCUAUAGUACCCUGUAAGGCCCAAAAAUCCCCUUAGUGAUUUAAUUGAUUUAGGUGCUGGCCAACGUACCAUAGCGUCAAUUUUCUCUUGAUCCGGUCUAAUCCCAUCCCCAGCAAUUACAUGCCCCAAAAAUGGUAAAGAAGCUUCCUGAAAUGAACACUUCUCCCUUUUAGCUGUCAAGUUAUUUUUUCUCAUAAUUUCCAUAACUGCUUUUAGGUGCUUCACAUGAUCUUCCAAAUUCUGACUGAAUAUUAGAAUAUCGUCAAAGAAAACUAUGACGAACUUCCUCAAGAAAUCUGAAAAUAUUUCAUUCAUAGUGGCUUGGAAUGUUGCCGGGGCGUUUGUUAGUCCAAACGGCAUCACUACGAACUCAAAGUGACCGUGAUGUGUUCUAAAUGCGGUCUUUUGAAUAUCUGGUCCCCAAACUCGGAUUUGAUGAUAACCUGAUAGUAAAUCCAACUUCGAGAAUAUAGUAGCCCCUUUUAAUUCCCCCAACAGCUCAUCAAUUGUUGGGAUCGGGAAUCUAUCUUUAACCGUAAUUGCAUUUAGGGAUCGGUAAUCCACACAUAAUCUCCAUCCACCAUUCUUUUUUUUUACCAAAAUGACCGGUGACGAAAAAGGACUGUUACUAGCUCUCACAAAUCCUUUUUGAAGCAAUUCUUUUACUAUUAUUUCUAUCUCAGAUUUCUGAAAUUGUGGGUAGCGAUAGGGUUUAACAUUCACAGCCUUCGAAUUGGCUUCCAAAUGUAUUCUGUGAUCUCUUUCUCGGACUGGUGGUAAUUGAUUUGGUUCUUUGAAUACAUCAGAAUAUUCUAAUAAAAUGUUGCCCACUUGUUGGGAUAACCGUUCUGACCCAGUUACUUCCAACUGUUUGCCCUUAUUAUUUUUUAAAUUGAAUGUGCAUAAGAAAGCUUCCUCUGAUUCAUCUAGCAGUCUUUUAAGUUCUCCUCCCGAUAAAGGACUUUCAUCUAGUCAAUCUUUGCCCUGCCAAUUAACCUCUUUUCCUUUGUCAACAAAUUUCAUGGUUAAUUCAGCAUAAUUUGUUGUUAUAUCUCCCAAUGUCGUCAACCAUUGAAUACCAAGCACUACAUUUGCUUCUGUCAUUGAUAAAACAAAUAAGUCAACUCUGAAUUUGUGAUUUUGUACUACCAUUUCCACAGCUCUGCAAACUUUGUUGCAUCACAGUUUUUUCCCACUUCCCGUAGCCACGUAAAACUCAGGAAUCGGUGAGACUGACAAAUUCCAUUCAGUGAUCAGAUUAGAUUGCACAAAAUUGUGCGUGGAUCCUGAAUCCACCAGGAUUGUCAUAUUUCUACCUUUCAUUAUUCCUACUACUCGAAUAGUCUUUGGUACUAAUACUCCCUCAAGUGCAUGUAGGCUGAUUAAGGUGUGUUCUGUAGGCAUGAUUUCUUCUAAUGCAUCCUUGAAAUCUUCCUCAUCAUCAUACGAAUUCUCCAUAUAUUCAGAUAAGCAAUUACCAUCUGCCGAUAGAAAUAAUAAUUUCCCAUUGCAACGAUGACCUCUCUGCCAUCUUUCCUCACAAUUAAAACAUUGUUGUUUCGCUUUUCGAAUUGCCUUUUCAGCCUCAGAAAGUUCCUUGCGAAACCUUGGUUGUGGGUUGGGUGGUGCUUCAAGUAGCUUUCUCGUAGGUGGUGCUGGAAGUGCUUUUUGGUACUCCACUCUUCUAUGUGGUGGAAUAUAUGCAUCUUUACGUGGUCCAUAUUUGUUGUACUGCCAAUACUGAUUUGGAAUUAUUGCCACUGUAGUGUCCUCCCACAUUCUGGCCAGAUCGAAGGCAUCAUUUAUUGUUUCUGGUCUGACCCUUAACACCUCUGUCUGAACUUCGGGCUUUAAUCCAGAUAUGUAGACCUCCUUCAUUACAUUAGUUGACAUUCCGUGAACUUUUGUUGCCAUUCCUUCGAACUUAGCUUGGUACUCCUUAACAGAUUCUGUUUGAACCAGUUUGCUUAAUCUGCCCGCUGGUACGGCAUAAGAUCCUUCCCCGAACCUCCUCUGAAUAUCUUCCAUAAAUUCACUCCACGAAUUUAAUUGUCCUUCUCCAUCCAUCCAUAAUAGCCAUUUUAAUGCUUCCCCUUCCAUGUUCAUAGUAGCCAUCAGAAUUCUUUCUCCUUCCGGAACAUUAUGAAAGCGAAAAUACUUCUUAACCUUGUAAAGCCACCCAUAAACGUCCUCCCCAUCAAAUUUGGGCAUAUCAGUUUUGAGUGUUUUUUUGACGUCUAGCAUUGGACCUCUGCCCAGAAUUGAACCACCCGUUGUGCUCAUCAAAUCCAUCAUGUUAACUACCUCCAUUAACAUUUUGCUCAUAUUUUCUAGACAUGUUGCCGUGUUGUCUUGUUUAUUCUGUAAACUCUUUAUCGUUUCCUCCAUUGAAGAUGAUGCUUCUGACAUUGUAAUAUAUCUUCCGUACCCACACGAAAAAUUGAAAAUGCAAGAUUAAGUUCAAACUUUGAGAAAUUACGACGGAAUAUAAGAUUACUUUCCUGUUUGGGAUCUAGAUUUAAGGAUCUAGAACAUAUCCCGUUACUUUUGUUUGAUUGUAAGCAAUCACCGUUCUCAAAGAGAAUUUCUUCAGAUCUUGCUAACUCCUUUCACAGCUCUAGCACGGAUGUUUCCAGAAAAUAAAAUAUACUAAUUAGAUUUAAUUCUUGAGAAUUUAUGAAUGAAAUGAAGCUUCCCUGAUUGGAUUCUAGUUUCAAGGACCUAGAACAUAUCCCGUUGAGUGUUUUGAUUUUACGGAAUCACCGAUCUCAAGAGAUGUCUUUCUUCUUUUAGCUCCAACUUUAGCUCUUCUUGAUCUUAACAAUCCAGCACCAAUUCAGCAGCAACAGGGAGAGUUCAAUGUUGAAAGCACCAAUGAUAGGAGAUGAAUUUUGGGGAAGAAUUGAGAAGGGAUUGGAAUAAGAAUGGAGAGAAAUUUAGGAAGGUAGAUAGAGCUAGAGCUCUUUCAUUUUUCAUAAGCUGUCUUUGUUUAGGUCAUAGUUUGCCUUAUAUAGGAAAGGCUUAACCCUACUUGACAAUUGGGCCUGACUACAUGGGCCAAACGAAAUUAAUUAAAAUACUAAGAUCCUUAUGAUUCCAUCUCAUAGUCAGCAUAAUGGACAGGCCUCCUCCUCACACGUUUCCCAGCCUGCACAUCCUCUUUAGCUAUAGCUUUGAUUGUGUCAGAUCCCACAGUGGAAGAUCUAAUUACCUUAGAUCUUUCCCCAAUCUUUUGUAGCAGUUCCUUCUCUUCCAGAUUUUUCUCAGCAGCAACCUCCUUGUCCGUUGGCUCUAUGAUAACUUCUUCAUCCCGUUCUCUACUUGGAGCUGCCUCCAUCUCUCUUCUAAGGAUCUCUGUCUUCAUGUCACUCUUGCAAGCAUGGGUAUCCAGUGUGAUCGUAACAGACAUGUUGCGAGCAUGUGGUAUGGACUUCAAGGGGAAUUGGGAAGAGC